UACGAAGGGAGCUAGCGUUGUUCGGAAUCACUGGGCGUAAAGCGCACGUAGGCGGAUGUGUCAGUCAGGGGUGAAAUCCCGGAGCUCAACUUCGGAACUGCCUUUGAUACAGCACGUCUUGAGUCCGGAAGAGGUGGGUGGAAUUCCUAGUGUAGAGGUGAAAUUCGUAGAUAUUAGGAAGAACACCGGUGGCGAAGGCGGCCCACUGAUCCGGUACUGACGCUGAGGUGCGAAAGCGUGGGGAGCAAACAGG
rnacentral:rRNA from 1 species